AUUGAACGCUGGCGGCAGGCCUAACACAUGCAAGUCGAGCGGAUGAAGGGAGCUUGCUCCUGGAUUCAGCGGCGGACGGGUGAGUAAUGCCUAGGAAUCUGCCUGGUAGUGGGGGAUAACGUCCGGAAACGGGCGCUAAUACCGCAUACGUCCUGAGGUAGAAAGUGGGGGAUCUUCGGUCCUCCCGCUAUCAGAUGAGCCUAGGUCGUAUUAGCUAGUUGGUGGGGUAAAGGCCUACCAAGGCGACGAUCCGUAACUGGUCUGAGAGGAUGAUCAGUCACACUGGAACUGAGACACGGUCCAGACUCCUACGGGAGGCAGCAGUGGGGAAUAUUGGACAAUGGGCGAAAGCCUGAUCCAGCCAUGCCGCGUGUGUGAAGAAGGUCUUCGGAUUGUAAAGCACUUUAAGUUGGGAGGAAGGGCAGUAAGUUAAUACCUUGCUGUUUUGACGUUACCAACAGAAUAAGCACCGGCUAACUUCGUG
rnacentral:rRNA from 1 species